UGCGGUCAUCCAUAUGAAUCUUCAUAUAAGCUUGAAAUUGAGAUUUGGAGCUAUAUGUUUUUUACCCUAAAGAUGAAGAGCAGUUUAUGGAUACACUGGUAAUCUUUGUUUUUCAGAGUGCUGGUAACAUGAGGGUGUACUCAUCUACAAUUUAAUAUAAUUCUUCUUUCGCAAAAAAAUACUCAGGUUAAAUACUCAAACCUAGCUUAAAAAAGC
rnacentral:lncRNA from 1 species